rnacentral:rRNA from 1 species
UGGGGAAUUUUGGACAAUGGGCGAAAGCCUGAUCCAGCAAUGCCGCGUGUGUGAAGAAGGCCUUCGGGUUGUAAAGCACUUUUGUCCGGAAAGAAAUCCUUGGCUCUAAUACAGUCGGGGGAUGACGGUACCGGAAGAAUAAGCACCGGCUAACUACGUGCCAGCAGCCGCGGUAAUACGUAGGGUGCAAGCGUUAAUCGGAAUUACUGGGCGUAAAGCGUGCGCAGGCGGUUUGCUAAGACCGAUGUGAAAUCCCCGGGCUCAACCUGGGAACUGCAUUGGUGACUGGCAGGCUAGAGUAUGGCAGAGGGGGGUAGAAUUUCACGUGUAGCAGUGAAAUGCGUAGAGAUGUGGAGGAAUACCGAUGGCGAAGGCAGCCCCCUGGGCCAAUACUGACGCUCAUGCACGAAAGCGUGGGGGAGCAAAACAGGAUUAGAUACCCUGGUAGUCCACGCCCUAAAACGAUGUCAACUAGUUGUUGGGGAUUCAUUUCCUUAGUAACGUAGCUAACGCGUGAAGUUGACCGCCUGGGGAGUACGGUCGCAAGAUUAAAACUCAAAUGAAUUGACGGGGUCAUAGCUGUUUCCU